AACAGGAUGUGCUCACUGAGAGAGGUGGCUACACUGCAGCUUCGCUGCCACGGUUGCACCCAAAUAGACCCUGCUCUCCCCAGAUGAGGUGCCCCAAGCAGCCCUGGUGCAGCACAUCACAAGACAAGGGGACCCUCCACCCAGCAUCACGAGUCCAUGAAGUUGCAGUGCCCCACCUUGCUGUGCUGUGCCGUGAGAUGAUGCCUUUGGUGUUCCCUCUCCAGAUGCUCAUCUGGAUCCAGAUUUUGCGCCUCAGGGGAAACCCAGAGGCCCUCUUGGUCAAUCUGCAGAGUGGAAUCCUGACCCUGAGCCUGGUAUGGAUGCUGGAGAAGUGCCCCCAGGGAAGGCCUUGCCAAGUCCUCGGCUCUUUCCUGUGCUGGAGCCCCGCUGGAAUCCCAGGGGUCUGGAAAAAGGAAAGGAUGCAUCUAGAAGAGGAAAAUACUCACAGAGGUCAUCUCGUGUGAUAAAGGAACUGCUGAAGGAAAUGGAGAAGGCAGCGCGUGGGACUGACCAACAAACUGCACAGGACGCGCUGCAGGAAGGCAGCCAUCCCACGCUGCCAGUCUGGGACAGAGAAACACAGACAGCGCCAACAACUGGCAUGCCAGGGAUGAAUGCUGGGAAAAACACAAGGGCUGCGGUUCAGGAGUUUGUACAAGUGCUCUUCUUCCCAGUGAUUGCACUGCUUUUAACAGUGCUGCUGUCUGCGCUGGUGAUGACUUGUACUGCUGUGUCAUGGAUGUGGCAAAAAUAUCCAGUGUGCAAGAGAGCAGAGACAACUCCAGGACAAGCUCAUCCUGACAGUGUGCGGGAGAGAGGCCAGUCUGGAGGUGAAGGCAGAGCGGAGCUGGGAGAGGCAACAAAAGAUGAUGUAGUUGCCCAAGAAAACAAGAACUUGUACAGCGGAUCCAGCCCGUUCCCCUCCUCCUUUGAAGCAGAGUUUGAAUACCUGUGCAGCAAAAUCCGCACAGACCCUUCACUUUGGCCCACGUGUCCCAGCAGCUCUCCCAUGGACAGUGUCUCUUCCCCAGAUACCCGUGGUUCUUGGGGUUCCCCAUAGCCAUCUAGUGCCCCG
ensembl:lncRNA